CAGCAGCCGCGGGAAUACGAAGGGGGCUAGCGUUGUUCGGAAUUACUGGGCGUAAAGGGCGCGUAGGCGGCCAUUCAAGUUAGAUGUGAAAGCCCUGGGCUCAACCUAGGAAUUGCAUUUGAUACUGUUUGGCUUGAGUUCGGGAGAGGUGAGUGGAAUUCCCAGUGUAGAGGUGAAAUUCGUAGAUAUUGGGAAGAACACCAGUGGCGAAAGCACUCUGCUGGGCCGACACUGACACUGAGAGACGAAAGCUAGGGGAGAAAAUGGGAUUAGAUACCCCCGUAGUCCCUGUCUCUUAUAC
rnacentral:rRNA from 1 species